UAGGGAAUCUUCCGCAAUGGGCGAAAGCCUGACGGAGCAACGCCGCGUGAGUGAUGAAGGUCUUCGGAUCGUAAAACUCUGUUAUUAGGGAAGAACAAAUGUGUAAGUAACUAUGCACGUCUUGACGGUACCUAAUCAGAAAGCCACGGCUAACUACGUGCCAGCAGCCGCGGUAAUACGUAGGUGGCAAGCGUUAUCCGGAAUUAUUGGGCGUAAAGCGCGCGUAGGCGGUUUUUUAAGUCUGAUGUGAAAGCCCACGGCGAAACCGUUGAGGGUCAUUGGAAACUGGAAAACUUGAGUGCAGAAGAGGAAAGUGGAAUUCCAUGUGUAGCGGUGAAAUGCGCAGAGAUAUGGAGGAAAACAAGUGGCGAAGGCGACUUUCUGGUCUGUAACUGACGCUGAUGUGCGAAAGCGUGGGGAUCAAACAGG
rnacentral:rRNA from 1 species